rnacentral:rRNA from 1 species
GACGAACGCUGGCGGCGUGCCUAACACAUGCCAGUCGAACGGAAAGGCCCUGCUUUCGUGGGCUGCUCGAGUGGCGAACGGGAGAGUAACACGUGAGUAACCCGCCCUUGACUUUGGGAUAACUUCAGGCAACCGGUGAUACUACCGGAUACCUGCUCCUGCUGCAGGGGGGGGGCUGGAAAGCUUCGGCGGAUGUGGAUGGACGGGCGGCUUAUCAGCUUGUGGGUGGGGGAGUGGCUUACCCAGGCUUUGGCUGAUAGCCGGCGUGAGAGGUGGAACGGCGACCAUACGACUAAGAUACGGCGCAGACUCCUACGGGAGACAGCAGUGGGGAAUAUUGCACAAUGAGCGGGAGCCUGAUGCAGCAACGCUGCGUGCGGGAUGACCGCCUUCGGGUUAAAAACCGCUUUCGCCUGUGACGAAGCGUGAAUGACGGUAAUGGGUAAAGAAGCACCGGCUAACUACGUG